GAUGAACGCUGGCGGCGUGCCUAAUACAUGCAAGUCGAGCGAACGGACGAGAAGCUUGCUUCUCUGAUGUUAGCGGCGGACGGGUGAGUAACACGUGGAUAACCUACCUAUAAGACUGGGAUAACUUCGGGAAACCGGAGCUAAUACCGGAUAAUAUUUUGAACCGCAUGAUUCAAAAGUGAAAGACGGUCUUGCUGUCACUUAUAGAUGGAUCCGCGCUGCAUUAGCUAGUUGGUAAGGUAACGGCUUACCAAGGCAACGAUGCAUAGCCGACCUGAGAGGGUGAUCAGCCACACUGGAACUGAGACACGGUCCAGACUCCUACGGGAGGCAGCAGUAGGGAAUAUUCGGCAAUGGGCGAAAGCCUGACGGAGCAACGCCGCGUGAGUGAUGAAGGUCUUCGGAUCGUAAAACUCUGUUAUUAGGGAAGAACAUAUGUGUAAGUAACUGUGCACAUCUUGACGGUACCUAAUCAGAAAGCCACGGCUAACUACGUG
rnacentral:rRNA from 1 species